rnacentral:tRNA from 1 species
GAGACUGUAGCAUAAUUGGUUAAUGCAACUCGCUCAUAAUGGGUCUUAUCAGGGUUCAAUUCCCUGCGGUCUUA